rnacentral:rRNA from 1 species
AGUGAACGCUGGCGGUAGGCCUAACACAUGCAAGUCGAACGGCAGCACAGUAAGAGCUUGCUCUUACGGGUGGCGAGUGGCGGACGGGUGAGGAAUACAUCGGAAUCUACUUUUUCGUGGGGGAUAACGUAGGGAAACUUACGCUAAUACCGCAUACGACCUACGGGUGAAAGCAGGGGAUCUUCGGACCUUGCGCGAUUGAAUGAGCCGAUGUCGGAUUAGCUAGUUGGCGGGGUAAAGGCCCACCAAGGCGACGAUCCGUAGCUGGUCUGAGAGGAUGAACAGCCACACUGGGACUGAGACACGGUCCAGACUCCUACGGGAGGCAGCAGUGGGGAAUAUUGGACAAUGGGCGCAAGCCUGAUCCAGCCAUACCGCGUGGGUGAAGAAGGCCUUCGGGUUGUAAAGCCCUUUUGUUGGGAAAGAAAAGCAGCAGGUUAAUACCCCGCUGUUCUGACGGUACCCAAAGAAUAAGCACCGGCUAACUUCGUG